rnacentral:misc_RNA from 1 species
AAGUCGUAACAAGGUUUCCGUAGGUGAACCUGCGGAAGGAUCAUUACAGUAGUCGCCCGGGUUGCCGCAAGGCCUCCCGGGUAACCUACCACCCUUUGUUUAUUACACUUUGUUGCUUUGGCAGGCCUGCCCUCGGGCUGCUGGCUCCGGCCGGCGAGCGCCUGCCAGAGGACCUAAACUCUGUUUGUCUAUACUGUCUGAGUACUAUAUAAUAGUUAAAACUUUCAACAACGGAUCUCUUGGUUCUG